rnacentral:lncRNA from 1 species
AGAUUUUCCCUACUCAUUCCACUAAUUCAAAAGCCAGUUUCUUCCAGAAAGCCCUCAGAUGCACCCAGAAAUAAUGCUUUACCAGCUAUCUAAGUAUCCCUUAAUCCAGUCAAGUUAACACCCAAAAUUAACCACCAUAGACCCUAACCUAGAGCCAUUUGAAGACUAGAUCUGACUUGUAAAUUCUCAUAAGAUUCUCAAAAAAUUCAUCAGUUUUGCUUGUUACUUCAUUCAGGGCAGAUUUUUUUAAUUUUUAUUUUUUCCUAAUUCACAGUUUCACUGAAGAUUUAAUUCAUUACAGGUUCCAGAACUUGCAUCUAACUCUCCCAUUGUGCAGACCUGAGUUGAUCUAUGUCACAACUGAAGCCCCAGGCCACCAGAAUUCACAGAUUGAAUCCCAGAUUCCACCUGGAAAAAGGAGGGAUCAGCUCCUCCCCGCUGCAAAUGGUACAAACUUCUGUGACUCCACCGCAAUGUGCACACAUCCCAGUGCGCAGGCCAGCCGGGGUUUUCCAGGAACCCCUUUACACCAGCUGUCUCUUUAAGUGAUAUAAACAAACAUCAAAUAUAAGCCCAUUAUUGCAGACUAUGCCUUGGAUAUGACAAAUAUCAAUCAAUUGAUUGUUGUACACAACUAGUAAAAUAGAAAACCUAGGAGUAAUUUUUACUGCUUUUUGCCAACUGAAAGCUAUCUAUGACUUACUCAACAAAGAAGUUCUGGACAUUAUACCUUGACAUUGAACGACUGACAACACCCAUAUAGUCUUUUGACAGUAGAGCUGAAAUGAAAGAUAUAGACAGCAUUCUUUUAAAAUAAGUGCACAGAAUAUGUCGGUGAGCAGCUCAUUCUAUAAAAUCUCAUGAGGACCCACUUCCAGGACAUCCUGAAACUGUGGACUAUUUGCAUACCUUUUCAACAAUUCUAUAUUUACACAGUGUUUUUUCAGGUUUGUCUCAAAGGUGGGGUUUUUUUAAAUGCACACACCCAGUUGGAUUUUUCUGUAAAUAAUCUAAUUUAAUGAGAUGGUCCAUCCAGCAAAGUUGUUCAGAUUUUGGAAGAUGGUACAAUGAUAUUUUAAAUUCUCUAAAAUGUAUUUUAGAGAUGCAGAAGAGAAGCUUAAACUCAAACAAGAUACACAUUUAUUUUAAAGGUUGAUGAAGCUCAAAUAUAGCAUUUUAAACUUCAAGUUGUAAUGACAUUUUGGAAGAUUUCAAUAAAACAUCAUAAAGUACUGACAAACUAUUUUGUCUUCAG